UAAAUGAGAAUGUUUCUAAAUAAUAAACAGAUCAAUGAAACAGAAUAAAGAGCCCCAAAAUAUACAUGGGAAUUGAAUAAAUAAUAAGUGGGGUAUUUAACAUCAGUAAGAAAAUUUUAAUAAUAAAAUAAACCCUGGGAGUUUUUUUAAUAAGUUAAACUGAGGAAGACCUUUCUAAACAUGGCAUAAAACACAGAAGCCAUUCAGGAAAAGUUUGACAGAUUUGACUACAUAAAAAUUUUU